CAAAACAUAGCUUAACCCUAAAGCAUCUAGCUUACACCUAGAAGAUAUCAUGUAAAAUGAUUGCUUUGAG
rnacentral:tRNA from 1 species